AAACCAUGUGCCUACAAGCGGUCGGAGCACUAUUUUAAUGUGUGACGGCGUGCCUUUUGCAUAAUGAGCCUACGAGUUACCGUUGCUAGCAAGGUUAAGUACUUCAGGUACGGAUCCGUAGCGAAAGCGAGUCUGAAUAGGGCGCUUAGUUAGUAGUGGUAGACGCGAAACCGUGUGAUCUACCCAUGGGCAGGUUGAAGCUGUGGUAACACACAGUGGAGGACC
rnacentral:rRNA from 8 species